rnacentral:rRNA from 1 species
GAUGAACGCUGGCGGCGUGCCUAACACAUGCAAGUCGAACGGAGUCCAGCCUUUAAGACCUUCGGGUCAAAGAGGGGAAGACUGAGUGGCGGACGGGUGAGUAACACGUGGGCAACCUGGCUCAUAGAGGGGGAUAACAGAGAGAAAUUUCUGCUAAUACCGCAUAAGCACACACUGCCGCAUGGCAGAGGGUGAAAAGAGAAUCGCUAUGAGAUGGACCCGCGUCUGAUUAGCCAGUUGGCAGGGUAAGAGCCUACCAAAGCGACGAUCAGUAGCCGGUCUGAGAGGAUGAACGGCCACAUUGGGACUGAGACACGGCCCAAACUCCUACGGGAGGCAGCAGUGGGGGAUAUUGCACAAUGGGGGGAACCCUGAUGCAGCGACGCCGCGUGAGUGAAGAAGUAUUUCGGUAUGUAAAGCUCUAUCAGCAGGGAAGAUAAUGACAGUACCUGAAUAAGAAGCCCCGGCUAACUACGUG